rnacentral:rRNA from 1 species
UACGGAGGGUGCGAGCGUUGUUCGGAAUCACUGGGCGUAAAGCGCGUGUAGGCGGUCUGCUAAGUCUGAUGUGAAAGCCCGGGGCUCACCCCCGGAAGUGCAUUGGAUACUGACAGACUGGAGUCCCGGAGAGGAAGGUGGAAUUCCUGGUGUAGCGGUGAAAUGCGUAGAUAUCAGGAGGAACACCGGUGGCGAAGGCGGCCUUCUGGACGGUGACUGACGCUGAGACGCGAAAGCGUGGGGAGCAAAC